AAGAACCAUAAGGAAUCGAAGCUGUACUGUACGGUGUUCAUUGUUCGCGAUUAAAGACAACUCCAACAGUGUGUUGCACUGAGCCAAUAGCUUCAAGCUAUUCCUAUUGUCCUCAAGGUUGCAGGCAACUUGCUUUGACUGCAUUUCGAUUCUUCCUUCGUGAUUUUACCUCAGAGGUUGGCACGUUAGGGUUGCAAAAGAAGAGCUCUAGUCAGAUCAAAAGAGGUGGCAAGUAAGUGCGUUAAGUGCAUAAAAUCCUCCCCUUCAACAAAUAUAUGUUUUAUAUGAGCGCAGCAUCAGUGCGUUAUACCACAAAAUCAAUGUAAUUUACACAACUCUACACUAAAGUUCUCUCUACCCUGCUUCUACCUCUCCCCUCACAGCAUAAAAUAAAAUAAAAUGAUCCUUUGUGCGUUUCUCAAUAAAUGUGCUUCUGAUAUGCUUCUUAUCAAAUCAAUCUGACACUCUUCCCUUUCAAGCCUGACAUGCCAUUAAAUUGACGUGCAAAGAUUUUCA